rnacentral:rRNA from 1 species
GUGCCAGCAGCCGCGGUAAUACGUAGGGUGCGAGCGUUAAUCGGAAUUACUGGGCGUAAAGCGUGCGCAGGCGGCGGCUCAAGUCAGGUGUGAAAUCCCCGGGCUUAACCUGGGAAUUGCGCUUGAAACUAGGUCGCUAGAGUGUGGCAGAGGGGGGUGGAAUUCCACGUGUAGCAGUGAAAUGCGUAGAGAUGUGGAGGAACACCGAUGGCGAAGGCAGCCCCCUGGGUCAACACUGACGCUCAUGCACGAAAGCGUGGGGAGCAAACAGGAUUAGAAACCCGUGUAGUCC